CCUACGGGAGGCAGCAGUGGGGGAUAUUGCACAAUGGGGGAAACCCUGAUGCAGCGACGCCGCGUGGGGGAAGACGGUCUUCUGGAUUGUAAACCACUGUCCCCAGGGACGAAAAUGACGGUACCUGGGGAGGAAGCUCCGGCUAACUACGUGCCAGCAGCCGCGGUAAUACGUAGGGAGCAAGCGUUGUCCGGAAUUACUGGGGGUAAAGGGAGCGUAGGCGGGGAUGCAAGUUGGGUGUAAAAACUACCGGCUCAACCGAUAGUCGCACUCAAAACUGCAGCUCUUGAGUGAAGUAGAGGCAGGCGGAAUUCCUGGUGUAGCGGUGAAAUGCGUAGAUAUUAGGAGGAACACCAGUGGCGAAGGCGGCCUGCUGGGCUUUUACUGACGCUGAGGCUCGAAAGUGUGGGGAGCAAACAGGAUUAGAUACCCCUGUAGUC
rnacentral:rRNA from 1 species